UACGUAGGGACCAAGCGUUGUUCGGAUUUACUGGGCGUAAAGGGCGCGUAGGCGGCAAAUUAAGUCAUCUGUGAAAUCUCCGAGCUUAACUCGGAUCGGUCAGGUGAUACUGAUCUGCUAGAGUGCGGAAGGGGCAAUCGGAAUUCUUGGUGUAGCGGUGAAAUGCGUAGAUAUCAAGAGGAACACCAAUAGCGAAGGCGGCAUCCUGGACCAAUAUUGACGCUGAGGAGCGAAAGCCAGGGGAGCAAACGGG
rnacentral:rRNA from 1 species